rnacentral:rRNA from 1 species
UCCAGACUCCUACGGGAGGCAGCAGUGGGGAAUAUUGGGCAAUGGGCGCAAGCCUGACCCAGCAACGCCGCGUGAAGGAAGAAGGCUUUCGGGUUGUAAACUUCUUUUCUCAGGGACGAAGCAAGUGACGGUACCUGAGGAAUAAGCCACGGCUAACUACGUGCCAGCAGCCGCGGUAAUACGUAGGUGGCAAGCGUUAUCCGGAUUUACUGGGUGUAAAGGGCGUGUAGGCGGGGACGCAAGUCAGAUGUGAAAACCAUGGGCUCAACCGGUGGCCUGCAUUUGAAACUGUGUUUCUUGAGUACUGGAGAGGCAGACGGAAUUCCUAGUGUAGCGGUGAAAUGCGUAGAUAUUAGGAGGAACACCAGUGGCGAAGGCGGAUUGCUGGACAGUAACUGACGCUGAGGCGCGAAAGCGUGGGGAGCAAACAGGAUUAGAUACCCGAGUACA